ensembl:lncRNA
CCUCCCCCCUCCUCCACGAGAUGCGCUCGCCUAGCUGCUGCCUGCCCAGCUAGCCAUUACCUUUGUAGAAAUAUGGCUACUGCAGAUGAAGAUAGCGUCGUGCAACCAUAUCGUUUUGAACCAGAGUCAGACCCUGAACAAGAAAAGGCUCCCGAACAAGUUCGAGAAGUUAGGGCUCAACAGGACGUUUCUGAAUGGUGUAUUUGUGGCAAGUGUGAUCAAAUGCCUACGGAGCCUGAGCAUGUAUGCUGCAGGGAGAUACCACAGACGUUACAGGUAUUUGGCGUACAGAAGCUUUGUUGGCUGGUGUUGGGGCUAUCUGGGCCGGAGAAUCAGGGUCGUCCUGCCGUCCUGCGUUGUGCUCCAGAUACGAAGAGUGUUCCCUGAUGCUCAAGGAAGGUAUACGGGGUUCAGACCUGCCCUCGAUUGAACCUUGACACAUAGCUGGCUACAACUUCCCGCUUGUCAGGUUUCUCAAACUGGGCAGAGAGAUCCGCGGGUAUUGGGAUCUUCAGCACCUCAUUCACAUAUGGGGCCGGGUCCUGAAAAACCUUGUGAAAGAUGAGGUCCAACAGGUUAUCCACGUACUCUGUAAUACAAAAAAAAAAUCCAA